UUUUUCCGAACGCCCGCAGCAGGGUCAGAAGGGAGGUGGUCGCCCUCCGUCGUGGUCUGGCGUGUAUUCCGAGCCUUGGUGUCUGGCGGUUUCCGAGCGUUGGUGUCUGGCGGUUUCCGAGCGUUGGUGUCUUGGCGGUUUCCGACCGUUGGUGUCUGGCGGUUUCCGACCGUUGGUGUCUGGCACGCGCCACCCUCUCUUGCUUUGGUUGCGCCAUGCCGAUGUACCAGGUAAAGCCCUAUCACCGGGUCUGCGCCCCUCUCCGUGUGGAGCCCACCUGCAUGUACUGGCUCCCCAACAUGCACGGCAGGAGCGGCGGCCCAGCACUUGGCACUGGCCACUUGCAGACAAGAAGACAAGAAAAUGAUUUGAGGACAGCUUCAAUCGCGGUGUGAAGAAGAAAGCAGCAAAACGACCACUGAAAACAACGCCGGUGGCAAAAUAUCCAAAGAAAGGGUCCCAAGCGGUACAUCGUCAUAGCCGGAAACAGUCAGAGCCACCAGCCAAUGAUCUUUUCAAUGCUGCGAAAGCUGCCAAAAGUGACAUGCAGGGAUGUCCUUCCUGAGAUCCGUGCUAUCUGCAUUGAGGAAAUUGGGUGUUGGAUGCAAAGCUACAGCACGUCUUUCCUCACCGACAGCUAUUUAAAAUAUAUUGGUUGGACUCUGCAUGAUAAGCACCGAGAAGUCCGCGUGAAGUGCGUGAAGGCUCUGAAAGGGCUGUACGGUAACCGGGACCUGACCGCACGCCUGGAGCUCUUCACUGGCCGCUUCAAGGACUGGAUGGUUUCCAUGAUCAUGGACAGAGAGUACAGUGUGGCAGUGGAGGCCGUCAGAUUACUGAUACUUAUCCUUAAGAACAUGGAAGGGGUGCUGAUGGACGUGGACUGUGAGAGCGUCUACCCCAUUGUGUAGGCCUCUAAUUGAGGCCUGGCCUCUGCUGUGGGUGAAUUUCUGUACUGGAAACUUUUCUACCCUGAGUGCGAGAUAAGAACGAUGGGUGGAAGAGAGCAACGCCAGAGCCCAGGUGCCCAGAGGACUUUCUUCCAGCUUCUGCUGUCCUUCUUUGUGGAGAGCAAGGUGACAUACACAGAGAUAACUCUGGCUGUUGUGCAUAGGACCUACAAGUGGGCUGGGGUUGGUGGUUCACGCCUGUAAGCCCAACACUUUGGGAGGCUGAGGUGGGAGGAUCCUUUGAGCCCAGGAGUUUGAGACCAGCUUGGGCAACAUAGUGAGACCCUGUCUCUACCAAAAAAAAAAAAAAAA
rnacentral:lncRNA from 1 species